rnacentral:rRNA from 1 species
AGUCGAACGAUGACAGAGAGCUUGCUCUCUCGAUUAGUGGCGAACGGGUGAGUAACACGUGAGUAACCUGCCCUUGACUCUGGGAUAAGCGUUGGAAACGACGUCUAAUACCGGAUACGAGCUUCAGCCGCAUGGCUAGGAGCUGGAAAGAAUUUUGGUCAAGGAUGGACUCGCGGCCUAUCAGGUAGUUGGUGAGGUAACGGCUCACCAAGCCGACGACGGGUAGCCGGCCUGAGAGGGUGACCGGCCACACUGGGACUGAGACACGGCCCAGACUCCUACGGGAGGCAGCAGUGGGGAAUAUUGCACAAUGGGCGAAAGCCUGAUGCAGCAACGCCGCGUGAGGGACGACGGCCUUCGGGUUGUAAACCUCUUUUAGUAGGGAAGAAGCGAAAGUGACGGUACCUGCAGAAAAAGCACCGGCUAACUACGUGCCAGCAGCCGCGGUAAUACGUAGGGUGCAAGCGUUGUCCGGAAUUAUUGGGCGUAAAGAGCUCGUAGGCGGUUUGUCGCGUCUGCUGUGAAAACCGGAGGCUCAACCUCCGGCCUGCAGUGGGUACGGGCAGACUAGAGUGCGGUAGGGGAGAUUGGAAUUCCUGGUGUAGCGGUGGAAUGCGCAGAUAUCAGGAGGAACACCAAUGGCGAAGGCAGAUCUCUGGGCCGUAACUGACGCUGAGGAGCGAAAGCAUGGGGAGCGAACAGGAUUAGA